rnacentral:rRNA from 1 species
GCUACACAUGCAGUCGAGCGGGGAGGCCCUUCGGGGCCUUCUAGCGGCGGACGGGUGAGUAACGCGUGAGCAACCUUUCCUUCACAGGGGGAUAACGCAGCGAAAGCUGUGCUAAUACCGCAUGAGACUACAGAGCUACAUGGCUUAGGAGUCAAAGGAGCAAUCCGGUGAAGGGUGGGCUCGCGUCUGAUUAGCUAGUUGGUGAGGUAACGGCCCACCAAGGCGACGAUCAGUAGCCGACCUGAGAGGGUGAUCGGCCACACUGGGACUGAGACACGGCCCAAACUCCUACGGGAGGCAGCAGUGGGGAAUAUUGGGCAAUGGGGGAAACCCUGACCCAGCAACGCCGCGUGAGGGAAGAAGGUUUUCGGAUUGUAAACCUCUGUCCUUGGUGAAGAGAAGAAGACGGUAGCCAAGGAGGAAGCCCCGGCUAACUACGUGCCAGCAGCCGCGGUAAUACGUAGGGGGCGAGCGUUGUCCGGAAUGAUUGGGCGUAAAGGGCGCGUAGGCGGCCUGUUAAGUCUGGAGUGAAAGUCCCGCUUUUAAGGUGGGAAUUACUUUGGAAACUGGCGGGCUUGAGUGCAGGAGAGGUUAGUGGAACUCCCGGUGUAGCGGUGAAAUGCGUAGAGAUCGGGAGGAACACCAGUGGCGAAGGCGACUAACUGGACUGUAACUGACGCUGAGGCGCGAAAGUGUGGGGAGCAAACAGGAUUAGAUACCCUGGUAGUCCACACGGUAAACGAUGAAUGCUAGGUGUAGGGGGUAUCGACCCCUUCUGUGCCGGAGUAAACACAAUAAGCAUUCCGCCUGGGGAGUACGGCCGCAAGGUUGAAACUCAAAGGAAUUGACGGGGGCCCGCACAAGCAGCGGAGCAUGUGGUUUAAUUCGAAGCAACGCGAAGAUCUUACCAGGUCUUGACAUCCAGGUAAAGCGGUAGAGAUACCGUGUGUGCUUGCACAUCUGAGACAGGUGGUGCAUGGUUGUCGUCAGCUCGUGUCGUGAGAUGUUGGGUUAAGUCCCGCAACGAGCGCACCCUUAU